CCUACGGGAGGCAGCAGUGAGGAAUAUUGGUCAAUGGGCGCUAGCCUGAACCAGCCAAGUAGCGUGAAGGAUGACUGCCCUAUGGGUUGUAAACUUCUUUUAUAUGGGAGUAAAGUGCAGUAUGUAUACUGCUUUGCAUGUACCUUAUGAAUAAGGAUCGGCUAACUCCGUGCCAGCACCCGCGGUAAUACGGAGGUGCCGAGCGUUAUCCGGAUUUAUUGGGUUUAACGGGAGCGUAGGCGGGUUGUGAAGUCAGUUGUGAAAGUUUGGGGCUCAACCGUAAAAUUGCAGUUGAUACUGGCAUCCUUGAGUACAGUAGAGGUAGGCGGAAUUCGUGGUGUAGCGGUGAAAUGCUUAGAUAUCACGAAGAACUCCGAUUGCGAAGGCAGCCUGCUGGACUGUAACUGACGCUGAUGCUCGAAAGUGUGGGUAGCAAACAGGAUUAGAUACCCGGGUAGUC
rnacentral:rRNA from 1 species